rnacentral:rRNA from 1 species
AAUAGAUACCCGGGUAGUCCACGCCGUAAACGAUGGGUACUAGGUGUAGGAGGGUCCAACCUUCUGUGCCGCCGUUAACACAUUAAGUACCCCGCCUGGGGAGUACGGUCGCAAGAUUAAAACUCAAAGGAAUUGACGGGGACCCGCACAAGCAGCGGAGCAUGUGGUUUAAUUCGAAGCAACGCGAAGAACCUUACCUAGACUUGACAUCCCCUGCAUUACUCGUAACGGAGGAAGUCCUUCGGGACAGGGAGACAGGUGGUGCAUGGUUGUCGUCAGCUCGUGUCGUGAGAUGUUGGGUUAAGUCCCGCAACGAGCGCAACCCUUAUUGUUAGUUGCUACUAUUAAGUUGAGCACUCUAGCGAGACUGCCCGGGUUAACCGGGAGGAAGGUGGGGAUGACGUCAAAUCAUCAUGCCCCUUAUGUCUAGGGCUACACAUGUGCUACAAUGGCGAGUACAAAGAGAUGCGAGACCGUGAGGUGGAGCCAAACUCAAAAACUCGUCCCAGUUCGGAUUGUAGGCUGAAACUCGCCUACAUGAAGCCGGAGUUGCU